rnacentral:rRNA from 1 species
UAGGGAAUAUUGCACAAUGGGCGAAAGCCUGAUGCAGCAACGCCGCGUGCACGAUGAAGGCCUUCGGGUCGUAAAGUGCUUUUCGGGGAGAUGAGAAAGGACAGUAUCCCCGGAAUAAGGAUCGGCUAACUACGUGCCAGCAGCCGCGGUAAAACGUAGGAUCCGAGCGUUAUCCGAAUUUACUGGGCGUAAAGCGCUUGUAGGCGGUUCGGUAAGUUGGAUGUGAAAUCUCCUGGCUCAACUGGGAGAGGUCGUUCAAUACUGUCGGACUAGAGGGUGGUAGAGGGAGGUGGAAUUCCCGGUGUAGUGGUGAAAUGCGUAGAUAUCGGGAGGAACACCAGUGGCGAAAGCGGCCUCCUAGACCGCUCCUGACGCUCAGACGCGAAAGCUAGGGGGAGCGAAACGGGAUUAGAAACCCCGGUAGUCCUAGCUGUAAACGAUGUGAACUUGGCGUUGGUAGGGGUAAAAGCCAAUCAGUGCCGAAGCUAACGCGAUAAGUUCACCGCC